UCCUGUUGGCGCCACAACAGGAAAAUGGCUCAGGGAGUUGGUAUAGAGAAAAAGUUGAAUGGAUAAGUGCUCCAUCCUCUUUUCUUAUUUUCCGCGUAUCUGUCAGGAGACUUGUGCACGGACAGGCGUCUGGAAUCACAAUGUCAUCAGAGAAUCAUGUUGGUGACAAACCAGAUUUAACAAUGGUAGUACCUGAUGUGUGGCCAGAAGUGGAGAGAGCGGAGCAUUUGGCCCGGGGGGCUGCAUUGAAGUGGGCUUCGGGGGUUUUCUGUCGACCUGAACAUCUGAGACGACUGAGCCAGUACAGGAAGAGAGAGAGUCAGCGAACUGCCUCUAUACAUACAAGACUCAAGUUAAUGGUUCAAUCAUACUUGGAAGAAGUGGGUUGGGGCAUGGAACAGCUCAGAGAGGCCCAGGCUGAACUGUGGGAACCAUGUCAGGCUUUAAAGAAAGCUGGAGUGGAGUAUAACAGUAACCGAGAUGAAAUUAAAUCUCUGGAGAGGCUGAGAGAAGUAUCAGUUAACCACCGUCAGCUCCUCACUGCAAUCAACAACCUGCCAAGACUUUACUCUGUUGGAAGCAUGGUUUUCGAAACAGAGCGUCUGGUGGAGUCAAGAAGGCUCCUGGAAGCCCACGCCUACCUGAUGAAUCUGGAACAAUGGCAGGAUGACAUCCUCUGGCAGCUUAAUGGGGCUGCUGGGAUGCAAGGAAGUGAGCUCAGCACUGAUGACCAGGAGCUGGUGUCCAAAUACUUCUCAGGUGUUAGGAAACUGGGGGAGUCUCUGGGAAAGGAGCUGUGGGCAGUUGUGAGAAAUACCUUUGCUGUAGUUCACCAAAACCCCACAUCGUUUGUAUCGACUGUGAGGAUUAUAGAGCGAGAAGAGGCUAUUGACAGAGUUCUGCUGGAGGAACGAGCUAAGGGCAAUGCCAGGCCCCUAUCCCCUGGACGACCUCGCUGCUGGAGAGCACGUUUCUUCCAGGUUCUGGAGGAAGUGGUGACUGCUCGGUUUUGUGGUGUGUCUUACCUUCACACACAGGGUCCAGGUUUGGUAGGGCGUCUCUCUACUCUGCAGGAUGCUGUUAUGUCCAAUCUGGCCACAGUACGCCACUUGCUGGAGCCCUGCGUCCCACCACACUACCGGCUAACUAGAGCCUACCUCAAGGCGAUCCACCACUGUUUACAUGCUCACUUGACACAGGUUAGCAGUUGGGACCUGGAGAGUGGGGAGAUUUUCGCUGUGCUCAACUGGGUACUACAUGUCUACAACAGCCCUGAAAUGAUGGGUCAUCCAGAGCUGCUGUAUGACAUGAAGGGGGAAGAGCUGGAACCUCUGAUCUCUCCUGAGGGACUAGAGCAACUUCAGACCAAAUAUGUCUCAAGUGUUCGGAAGAGUGUGUCUGAAUGGAUGCAUAAAGCUCUGCAGGUGGAGCUGCAAGACUGGCAAAGGGACCAGGAGCCAGAGACAAACCAUGAAGGUUUCUACCAAACCAGCCUACCAACUAUCAUCACUCAGAUGUUGGAAGAAAAUGCCCGUGUGGCCCUAAUGAUUGGCAAAUCCCUCAGAAACCAAACAAUCCAAAUGGGGCUGUGUGAAAUGGAGAACCUUCUCAACAGAUUUCGAGAAGCUCUGGUGAGAUUUGGGAAAGAGCGUUGCAGCGAUCCAAUUAACAGCAAAAGCAAGUUCUACCUCCACUAUCUACUUGCCUCCAUUAGUAAUUGUAUCAUUCUCAAAAAAUCUACAGAGAGCCUUCAACAGCAACAGUCAUCCUGCGAAACAGAACCGUUUUCACGGGCUCCUCCCAACCCAUUGGCAGCUCUGGAUCGAGUAGUACGAAGGGCUUGUCGCAUGUUAAUGGAUCAGCUCCUGCUGGACCUAAAGCCAUUCCUCACUGGCCUACUGACACGGCCCUGGCUGAUUCAGGGAGAGCCCACUCCCAAACUCUGCCAGAUCCUGGAAUAUCAUCUGGACCUGUACAGCCAUGUUCAACUGCCUUGCCGACAGCGUCUGCAGGAGGAAGCCCAGUGGUUGACAGUGGUGGAGUAUGUCAAAGCAUUGAUGCAGAAGAGGCUGGUAUGUCGCAGUGCUGAGGAAAGGAGGAAAUUAACUCAGCAGAUGGUUAAGGAUGACCAGCAGUUUCAAGAAACUUUCCAUGGUGUGGCAGGUGAUGGGUUACAAUCUGAAGUGGAACCAUUGACCUUACUUCCAGUCUUGGCUGAUUUCAUCAAACUUCAAGACCCCAGCAUGCUCCCUCUUGAGGUGUCUGGACUUGCAACAAAAUAUCCCGACAUCAGUGAAGAGCAUGUGUCUGUGUUGCUGGACAUCCGUGGUGACGUCUCCAGGGACACAAGAGUGUCCGUACUGGAGCUUCUGCAACAGAGUACCACCCCUCUGCAAGCUGCAUACCGCCCUAUUUUCACAGAUAUCCAGGCGUCUCCUUCAACUAUGGCCUUCUGCCUACCAACUGCCAAAUGUACAUGAUGAGAGACUUUGCACCUGUAGACUCUGAAUAGAGCAAACGAUCAUCCCAACAUGCAUGUUGGUGUGCGGGAUGCUUUGACAUUACACAAUUGUUUUUACUUUUUGGGAAAUGAACAAGCUACAGUAUGUUUUUGAUUUACAGUCAUUCACAGGUCCUAUGUAGUUCCAGUGCAACCUCCAGCUGAACGCAAUUUAUUCCAUGAUGUUUGGGUGACUUCCAAGUUGUCAUUUCAAAAUAAAUGUUAAUGUUGUGUCCUUAAUAUGAUAGGUGCAUGUAUUGAUAAGAAUAUAAACUUUACUCCUGUUAAGAUUCUGCAUAUAGUUUUUCCAGAUCUACUGACCAAGCCAAGGUGAACUAUAAACCCCAAUUCCAACUAAAUUGGGAUGUUCUGUAAAACACCCCUCUGUGAGUCAUCACCUUAUCAUUGUGGAGGGGUUUGCGUGUCCUAAUGAUCCGAGGAGCCAAGUCGUCUGGGGCUUUAUGCCCCUGGCAGGGUCACCCAUGGCAAAAGGGCCAGGCAAAGCACCGCUCAUAUAGCCCUUGAUUAAUGAAAAUGGAUUCCGUUCUCACUUG